rnacentral:rRNA from 1 species
GGCGGCGUGCUUAACACAUGCAAGUCGAGCGGUAAGGCCCUUCGGGGUACACGAGCGGCGAACGGGUGAGUAACACGUGGGUGAUCUGCCCUGUACUUCGGGAUAAGCCUGGGAAACUGGGUCUAAUACCGGAUAUGACCUUCGGUUGCAUGAUCGUGGGUGGAAAGAUUUAUCGGUACAGGAUGGGCCCGCGGCCUAUCAGCUUGUUGGUGGGGUAAUGGCCUACCAAGGCGACGACGGGUAGCCGGCCUGAGAGGGCGACCGGCCACACUGGGACUGAGACACGGCCCAGACUCCUACGGGAGGCAGCAGUGGGGAAUAUUGCACAAUGGGCGAAAGCCUGAUGCAGCGACGCCGCGUGAGGGAUGACGGCCUUCGGGUUGUAAACCUCUUUCGACAGGGACGAAGCGCAAGUGACGGUACCUGUAGAAGAAGCACCGGCCAACUACGUGCCAGCAGCCGCGGUAAUACGUAGGGUGCGAGCGUUGUCCGGAAUUACUGGGCGUAAAGAGCUUGUAGGCGGUUCGUCGCGUCGUUCGUGAAAACUUGGGGCUCAACCCCAAGCUUGCGGGCGAUACGGGCGGACUAGAGUACUUCAGGGGAGACUGGAAUUCCUGGUGUAGCGGUGAAAUGCGCAGAUAUCAGGAGGAACACCGGUGGCGAAGGCGGGUCUCUGGGAAGUAACUGACGCUGAGAAGCGAAAGCGUGGGUAGCGAACAGGAUUAGAUACCCUGGUAGUCCACGCCGUAAACGGUGGGUACUAGGUGUGGGUUUCCUUCCACGGGAUCCGUGCCGUAGCUAACGCAUUAAGUACCCCGCCUGGGGAGUACGGCCGC